rnacentral:rRNA from 1 species
ACAAGUUCAACGGCCGCGGUAUUUUGACCGUGCAAAGGUAGCGCAAUCACUUGUCUUUUAAAUAGAGACCUGUAUGAAUGGCUAAACGAGGGCUUAACUGUCUCCCUUUUCAGGUCAGUGAAAUUGAUCUACCCGUGCAGAAGCGGGUAUAACAAUACAAGACGAGAAGACCCUUUGGAGCUUAAGGUACAAAACUCAACCACGUCAAGCAACUUAAUAAAAAAUAAAAACUUUGUGAAACAUGAGAUUUUACCUUCGGUUGGGGCGACCGCGGAGGAAAAAAAAGCCUCCAAGUGGACCGGGACAAACUCCUAAAACCAAGAGAAACAUCUCUAAGCCACAGAACAUCUGACCAAACAUGAUCCGGCCACCAGGACCGAUCAACGAACCAAGUUACCCUAGGGAUAACAGCGCAAUCCCCUCCCAGAGUCCAUAUCGACGAGGGGGUUUACGACCUCGAUGUUGGAUCAGGACAUCCUAAUGGUGCAGCCGCUAUUAAGGGUUCGUUUGUUCAACGAUUAAAGUCCUACGUGAUC